rnacentral:lncRNA from 1 species
CCAUUUUUGUGGUGUGCCGCAACUCCUCUCAAAACCCCUCCUCUGCCAUUCCAAUUUCCUCCCUUUUCCGACCAGAUAACGGCUAACGAGAGCGCCCAACGAAUCUCUCGAUGGUAAGUCCUCCUCCCCUCACCCUUUUCGUGUUUUGUUUUAAGAAAAUAAAAAGAAAAGAACCAAAAUAACUUUAAAAAAGGCAGUAAAAGAACAGAGAAAAAUAAAACAAAAUCCUACCUUCAAAAGUAUUUUUCUGUAUAUUUCCUUUUUUAUUUCGGUACAAAAAUUUCCUCCCCUUUUAUAGCCUAAAACCUCUUUACAAUUUGUUGUCAUAUAUUCAGUCAUUGCUACUGUUUGUGGUUUGUUGCAGGUGAUGAACGUGCAUGGUGGGUGUGGGGACUUGCUGAACGUGGGUGGAGACGGUUGCCAUGACGUGGGCAGUUGCUGCGGCGCCGAUUUGCUUCAAUCUGCUUAGGGUUUCUGCUAUACCCUGUGUUCUUUUGGGCUAACAGGCUAGUGCUAGCAAUUUGGGCUGUUUGGGUAUUGGGCUUGUAAUUUGGUUAUUGGGUCGGGUGUUAUUGGGUUUAAAACUGGGUCUGUAAUUUAUUGUAUUUUUAUUUUAA